UCUGACUUAAAAAAUGAAAAGUUUGAGAAACCCUGCUAUGGGGUCUCUGUCACCCACACUAAAGUGCAGCCUCGAAGUCCUAGACGCAAGUCAUCAUCCCACUUCAGCCUCAAAACUAGCUGGGACUACAGUCACAUGCUACCACAUUUGGGUAAUCUGCUUUGGUUUUUGUUUGUUUGUUUGUUUAAGUGCACAGUGCUUUAUUUAGGCAUGUGGCAAUGCACUAUAAUGUAAAACUUCAGAGUUUUCUUAACUAAUUGUCUUUGUAUUGGAGAAAUGGACCUAGAAUAUUCAUAGAGAAAUCUUGUCUGGCCCGUGGAUACUCUCUGGGCAAAUAAGGCAGAAGUUCUAAAUUCGGCUACAUUUGUAGAAUUGCAAAUGAAUAUAUUUCUUGGCUUACGGAUUUAUUUAUGUAUUUAGAUUUUAAGUUGGAGAAGAAACAAUGUUUAUUUGUAAAGUUUCUUAAUUUCUAUGGAAGAAUGUUUGCUUUCCUGACUCGUAUUUGAUUAUGACGGUAAAUUGUCUUGCCUAUUUUAUCAACAGAGUAUGAGUUCUCUGGAGUGCUGCCAGAGAACAAUCUUGAGCUUUUUACUUGGGGUGGGGGGAAAAAACCACCAAGAACUAUAUUGUGAAAGAAAACUUUUCAUAAAUAAUAUUGGCUCUUGCUACUUCUCUAGAUAGUUUUAAUUUUAUCCAUGGAUCAAGUCAACCUUUACAAAACUGCAUAUUCAGACUACAUGGUUUGGUCACCAGCAAAAUGUUUUCAGUGAUUAUGCAAUGUCAUGCCAACCACUUACAUGUGGAGGCACCCAAGAGAAAGUUUUACCUUCUCUAAUGGUGAUGUUGAGGACACUCCACUAUUUAACUUUGAGCCUUUUUGGAAACAGAGAAAAUUUCUCUCUCAUUCACUGCUGUUUUUUAUGAUCAUUGUAAACCUUGUAACUAAUCCUGUUUCUCUCUUGACUUCGGCUGCUAGGAAACUUACAGGUGAUAGUCUCCAUGCCUUCUAGAAUUUGUACAGAACUUUGUGUCUGAUAACUUCUGAAUUCCACACACACAUAGAUCAGACUAUCUGAUCUAGCCAUUUGGAAACUAAUUGAUAUCUCAAACUUAGCAUGGAAACCACAGAACCCUUGCAUGUUGCCUCAAACCCUACAAUGGGCUUCUCUCUUGGGCUUCAACAUCUCAGCCAACAGUAUUACUGUAAUUUGGUUAUUGGAAUGAACAUCUUGAUUCCUCUCUUUCCCUCAUAUCUCUCUUCAAAACACCUGGUAAGUCAUGUUGGCUAUACCUCCUAAAAUUACAUGGUCCCCAACAUAUGAUGGUUCAACUUAUAAUUUUUCAACAUUAUGAUAAUGCAAAGAAAAUACGCAUUCAGUGGAAAUCGCAUUUCGAAUUUUGAAUAUUGGUCAUUUCCCAAGCUAGCAAUAUGCUGUAUGAGAUACUCCGUCGCACGAUGUUGAGCAGCAGCAGUGAGCUACAGAUCCCACUCAGCCACAUGAUCACAAGGGUAAACAACCAAAACUCUAUGGUGUCCUGUGUUGCCAGUUUUUGGGGGUGCUUUGGGAGUGAGGAUAUGAUUUAGCCUCACUGUAAGCUAGUGUAAGUGUGUUAAAGUAAGCUAGGUGAAGCUAUAAUGUUUGGUAGAUUAGAUAUACUAAAUGCAUUUUCAACUUAAGAUAUUUUCAAGUAUUGGGAUGUAACCACAUUGUAAGUUGAGAAGCAUCUGUAUCUCAAAUUCAACUACUUGUCAUCUCAGCUGCUGCCUCAUGAGUUCACCACCAGCUAUAUCACCUGCACUGCUACACCAUCUUCCCAAAUCAUCUUCUACCUCCACUCUGGCCCCAUCAGUCAUUCCUCCACAUUAUUGAAUAAAUCAAAUUAUGACACUAUCUUAAGGAAAAUCCUUCUCAGUGCAGCUGGGAUAAAAUCUAUUCUCCUCUCCAUGCUCUACAAGAUCCUCAUUAACUGACUCUGCCUACCUCCUCAAACUCACCUCCCUUCAUUCACCAUUGACUUGUCUCUAGCCACAUUUGCCAUUUUUCUCUCAUUUAAACAUGCCAAUCACUUACUCUGUUUAACAUGACCUUCCCACUAGAUGUUUCUAAGGCUUCCUGUAUCAUCACUCAUGCCACAACUAUUUCUUUUUACCUCUUGAGAAGACUUUUCUGACAACUUUACCCUAAGUAACACCCUCCACCCCACAGUCACUUUCUAUCACAUUACCUUAGUUCAUCUUCCCUGUAUGAUUCAUUCAUCCUUGAAAACAUUUUUUACCUGGUUAUUAUCUGUCUAUCUGCUUGUACACAGAUAAAUGUAGCAGCUUUGAAAAUCUUAUUCUGCACUGUAUCUGAGCUGACUGACUAAACUGAAGUCUGGUAUUAACAGUAUGAUAGGUACAUUGUUAGGUAUAAAAUCAGCAAUGCAAUGUGGAUUAUUUUUAAUCUAUGUAAACUCUUUAACAUACAAGUCUAUAAAAAUCACUAUCCACAAAUGUGAAGUUGUACAAUGUACUGUAUUUAUGUGUUGGCUUUAGUUAUAGUAUGUGUCCUGAUGUCUGAGAAUUAAUUUUAACCAUACUUAUUAAAAUAGAGGAUCUUCUGACUAGCUAAAUAAGAGUCUUCUUCAUAUGCUUUCCUUUGAGAAGUGUCUAGGUUAUUCAGCAAACUUCGGAGGGGCCAUAACCAUGGAGAGGAGGUUAACAGGUGGGAUUAGAAGGAAAGCAUAUGAUACUAAUGCAUACAAUAAAUUACGUUGCCACUUCAUCCAAAUGUUGGAUCUUCAAGAUAUGUACAAGUAAAAAUUUCUAUUCCCUAUGAGUUUGGAUAACAUGGAGAGUCUUCUUUUUAUUGUGCACUCUUGCCUACUGAGGUAGACACUGCCAGGAACUUCCAAGUAUUUUUAAAUGUAAUAGAUUUAAAAAUAA
rnacentral:lncRNA from 1 species